UUCACCAUGUUGCCCAGGCUGGUCUCCAACUCCUGAGCUCCAGCGAUCCACCCACCUCUGCCUCCCAAAGUGCUGAGAUUACAGAUGUGAGCCACCAUGCCUGGCCAGAUGGUGAUAUUCUUGAAUCCCCUAAGGCUAGGUAUCAACCAUUGGUUUGUAAGUAAUCAGAUAUCACAAGGAGUUAAUUUCAGCUUUAGGAAGCUUGAUUUUUGCCUGAGCUUCGUAUAAUAACCUGUAGCACUUAUGCUAAUAUUGAUAGAACAGAAGUUUUCUAGGAAAUCUGUUCUAGCAUGUUUAGGACCUGGUUCUAAGGGGAACCCAUGAGAUUCCCAGGGGCUCCCAGAACACCGAAGUAUUUGUAGAAGUAUUUUGGGUGCAUCUGGGUCAAGGACUUUGAGUCAGUUUAGGGUAAAAAUGGAGAGGAAGUAUAAAACAAUGGCCCUGUGAAAGUACACAGGACCAAAGCAAUAACUUCAAGAGGGAAACCACACUGGUCAGGAAAUCCGUUUUUCUCUGUGUUCUCAGGGAUCUCUUCUUUAAGAUUAUGUCUUAAAAGGAGCCAAACAAGUUUCUGGAACUGAAGGAGAGAAGUGAACACAAGCUUAAUCUAGGAGACUGACAAGUAAAAAGGAAUCCUGCUGAUCCCUUUUUUGCUUUAAUUUUAUUGCUGUCCCAUGUGGAUAGUCCUCUCACCAUCCCUCCCCCGUCACAAACAAGAUGAGUAACUGGACAGGAUAUAGCUGAAGAGUCUCUAAGAUGUUUGAAAUGAUUUUUUUAAGUUAUAAAAUUAAUACAAAAUAUGUAUUUUAGGGAGAUUGUUACUGAUAUUUGCUUUUACUAAAUGGUUUAACAAUGUUAAUGAGUGUGUCUACUCACCAGUACAGGCAGUAUCAGUGCCAGGUAACCACCAGCAAAGACGGCAAAGCAGAUGGUGUAGGUCAUAAGUAGUGGAAAUGUGGUGGCUAAAGGAGCAAGCAGGUUAGUGAUGCCGCAGAGGAUGAGGUAAGACUUGUGGUAAUGGUACUUCUUAAUCCAGUUUUGAUCAGCAACCCAUCCAGAAAUAAUCUGACUGACCGUCUCAAGGAUACCUGGAACAAUAUUGAAAUCUUUUUAUUUUCCUAGCCCCUUUGAAAAAUGUGGAUGCAUACGGCAUCAUUUCCCAAGUAAUGUGACCUCAUCCCAAGGCCAGGAUAUGUGAGGAAAAAAAUGAUUUCAUUUGUGUACCAUUAAGCUCUAUUAUUUACUUACCUAUUCCAAAUACAUUUAAUAAAAUAGCAAAAAAGUCUCUGCUAGAGUUGUGUAGAAGACCCCUGUAGUUAGUGUUUUUUUCUGAUUGUGUUUGGAAAGCUUACAUCAUCACUACAGUGGGAAUCUUUGGUUACAGAGGACCCUGGGCACAGAAGGCCAUGCAGUCCCUUCGUCUAAGAGGUCCUGCAAGUGAGAAAAUGAAGUUUCUAAAAGACAAAUAGACCUUCAGCAAGCUUAUUGCCAGCCUUAUACCUGCACAAAAACGAAGAGAUGACAUGAUGGAUCCAAUCCAACCAAUUUGCUCUGAGGUGCCUUCAAACUCUUCUUGAAAGACCACAAAGAAAAUUGCAAAAGUCUUGGUCAUUCCCAUCACAAACACAUUCACCUAAAUCAAAGCAGACCAGAGUCCAACUCAGGUGCAUUAUUCACAGUAACAAAGACAUGGAAUCAACCUAUGUGCUCAUCAAGAGUGGGUUGGAUAAAGAAAAUGUGACACAUAGACACCAUGGAAUACUACACAGCCAUAAAAAAGAACAAAAUCAUAUCCUUUACAGCAAUAUGGGUGCAGCUGGAGACAUUAUCUUGAGCAAAUUGAUGCAGAAACAACCAAAUACUGCAUGUUCUCACUUAUAAGUGGGAGCUAAACAUUGGGUACAUAUGGACGUAAAGAUGGGAACCACAAACACUGGGGACUACAAGAUAGGGAGGGAGGAGGGUUGAAAAACUCCCAGUGCUAUGCUCACUACCUGGGUGACGGGUUCAAUUAUACUCCAAAUCUCAGCAUCACACAAUAUACCUUUGUAACAAACCUACAC